UCAAGUAUUUAAGGGCGUACGAAGGAUGCCUUGGCACUACCAGGCGAUGAAGGACGUGGUUACCUGCGAUAAGUUUCGGCGAGCUGGAAGCAAGCUUUGACCCGGAAAUUUCCGAAUGAGAAAACUCCAUACGGCAAAACCGUAUGAUCUCCGCAAGGAGAAGCUAAACUCAGGGAAUUGAAACAUCUUAGUACCUGAAGGAAAAGAAAGUAAAAACGAUUUCGUUAGUAGCGGCGAGCGAACGCGAAACAGCCUAAACCGAUGUUAUGUCAAGCUUGAGGGCGUUGUGAUAUCGGUGUUGUAGGGCUGGCAUGGGUUCACCUCAAUGGACCUGCAAAGUUACCAAAUUGCCAUGUAGAAGAAGUGUUUGGGAAAACACGCCACAGCGGGUGAUAGCCCCGUAUUUUAAACAUGUGUGAUCUUUGAGCCAGUUCCUGAGUACCACGGAGUACGUGAAGUUCCGUGGGAAUCCGCGAAGACCAUUUCGCAAGGCUAAAUACUAGGUAGUGACCGAUAGUGAACAAGUACUGUGAAGGAAAGGUGAAAAGCACCGCGGGAGCGGAGUGAAAUAGAACCUGAAAUCGUACGCUUACAAGGUAUGGAAGGGCGUAAGCCUGACCGUGUGCCUUUUGUAGCAUGAGCCUGCGAGUUACUGUAUGCAGCAAGGUUAAGGGAUUGAAGUCCCGGAGCCGAAGCGAAAGCGAGUCUGAAUAGGGCGUUUUGAGUUGCAUGCUUUAGACCCGAAGUUGAGUGAUCUAGCCUUGGUCAGGAUGAAGUGGCGGUAACACGCCAUGGAGGUCCGAACUCGUGAAUGUUGAAAAAUUCUGAGAUGAACUGAGGCUGGGGGUGAAAGGCCAAUCAAACUCAGCGAUAGCUGGUUCUCCUCGAAAUGUAUUUAGGUACAGGGUCUGAUGUUUAGUUGUGGGGGUAGAGCGCUGUUUGGGCUAGGGGCCUUACCCGGUUACCAAACCCAGGCAAACUACGAAUACCAUAACUUUAGAGUCAGGCACUGAGUCAGUGGGUGAUAACGUUCAUUGGCGAGAGGGAGACAACCCGGAUCGACAGCUAAGGUUCCUAAAUCUACACUAAGUGAUAAAGGAUGUUCAAUCGCACAGACAAUUAGGAGGUUGGCUUAGAAGCAGCCACCCUUUAAAGAGUGCGUAAUAGCUCACUAAUCGAGCGAUUGGGCGCCGAAAAUGUACGGAUCUAAGUGUAGUACCGAAGCUUCGGGCGCGUAGCAAUACGCGCGGUAGAGGAGCGUUCCUACAGCGGCGAAGGUAUAGCGAGAGCAGUGCUGGAGCGGUAGGAAGUGAGAAUGCAGGCAUGAGUAGCGAAAAUGACGGUUAAAUUCCGUCACAUCGUAAGCCCAAGGGUUCCGCAGCAAGGUAACUCCGCUGCGGGUUAGCCGGUUCCUAAGGUGAGGCCGAAAGGCGUAACCGAUGGUAACCUGGUUUAUAUUCCAGGGCUUAGUUCAAGGCGCGAUGGGGUGACGCAAGAAGAUAGGGAAGCAGCCUAAUGGAUGGCUGUAUAAGGUCGUAGGCGUUGAGGUGGUCAGGCAAAUCCGGCUGCUGAGCUGAGAGCUGAUAUCGAGUGGACCUUCGGGUUUCACGAAGUUUCUGAUUCUAUGCUGCCUAGAAAAACCUCUAAGUUUACUUGAACUAAACCGUACCCGAAACCGACACAGGUGGGCGAGGAGAGAAUCCUCAGAUGCGCGAGAGAAACCUCGUUAAGGAACUCGGCAAAAUGACCCCGUAACUUCGGGAGAAGGGGUGCCUCAUUAUCGUGCAAGCGAGAAGAGGCUGCAAUAAAGAGUCCGCGGCGACUGUUUACCAAAAACACAGGUCUCUGCAAACACGUAAGUGGAUGUAUAGGGGCUGAUACCUGCCCGGUGCUGGAAGGUUAACAGGAGAUGUUAGAAGCAAUUCGAAGCAUUGAAUCGAAGCCCCAGUAAACGGCGGCCGUAACUAUGACGGUCCUAAGGUAGCGAAAUUCCUUGUCGGGU
rnacentral:rRNA from 1 species